rnacentral:rRNA from 1 species
CCUACGGGCGGCAGCAGUGGGGAAUAUUGGACAAUGGGGGAAACCCUGAUCCAGCAAUACCGCGUGUGUGAAGAAGGCCUUCGGGUUGUAAAGCACUUUUAGCAGGAAAGAAAGACUGUGCGCUAAUACCGCAUGGUUUUGACGUUACUUGCAGAAAAAGCACCGGCUAACUCCGUGCCAGCAGCCGCGGUAAUACGGAGGGUGCAAGCGUUGAUCGGAAUUACUGGGCGUAAAGCGCGCGUAGGCGGCUUGGUAAGUCGGAUGUGAAAUCCCCGGGCUCAACCUGGGAACUGGAUUAGAGACUGG